ensembl:lncRNA
AUGAAUCCAACAGAGCAAAUAAAGACUGAACUUAAGGAGAUGCUUUUACACGCUAAAAAUGAACAAUGGAUCUCACAAAAAGAACAUGACUUUCUACUGAAUGAGCACCCAAGAAUUCCUUCCUUCUACAUGCUCCCUAAAAUCCAUAAGAACUUGGAGAAUCCACCAGGCAGACCAAUAAUUAGUGGCAAUGAAUCAAUCACAGAACCAGCCUCACAGUUUGUAGAUUUUUUCAUUAAAACAUUUGUUUCUGAACUGCCUUCUUUUGUUCAAGACACUACUCAAGUACUGAACAAACUGAAUGAUAUAAGGAACAUAGGACCUGGACUUCUUGUUACUAUGGAUGUGGAGGCGCUAUACACUAACAUUGACCACACAGAAGGACUAGAAGCACUAACCUAUUACCUGGACCAAAGACAUUCAGAAGAUAUGCCUCCUUCUUCUUUCAUCCUUCAGCUGGCGAAGUGGACUCUAUGUAACAAUGUGUUUCUGUUUCAGAACCAAUUUUUUAGACAGAAAAAAGGUACAGCAAUGGGAGCAUGCUUUGCACCCAAUUACUCUAAUCUUUUUAUGGGACUUUGGGAAGAAACAUAUGUAUACUCUGAUCGUAAUGUCUAUGCUGAUAAGAUGAUGUGGUGGGGAAGAUACAUUGACGACAUUAUUCUGCUGUGGUCUGGUUCAGAAUCAGAACUACUUCAAUUCCAUUCAUAUCUUAACAAAACUAACAAAAGUUUGAAACUCAGCCUAGACUUCUCCUCAUCAGAAAUUAAUUUCCUAGAUAUAAAAAUCUCAAAAUCUGAUAAUGGAGAUUUACACACUUCUAUUUUUAGAAAACCUACUGACCGUAAUACAAUCCUCAGAGCAGACAGUUUCCAUCCAUCAUGGUUAAUAAACAACAUUCCCACUGGUCAGUUUCAAAGACUUAGACGUAUUUGUGACACAGAAGAAGAAUUUGAAAGAAAUGCUACAGUUAUGGGCCAGAGCUUUACAACAAGAGGAUACCAGCAAAGAACGAUACUCAAAGCGUAUAAUAAGACUAAAAGCCUGCCAAGAGAACAGCUAUUGGUACCUAAAGAGAAGAACCAACAAAGAUCAGAUGGUGUUUAUUUUGUGACCCAAUUCAGUGAUCAAGCCCACAAGAUCAAAAAAAUAAUUACAAAAAACUGGGACAUACUGAAAAGUGACAGUGUUCUUAGGGAAGCUCUCCCAGAUACUCCUACUAUCAGCUUCAGACGAGCCCCAACAUUAAAUGAUCAACUUGUUCAAAGUCACCUUCCUCCACAGCAACAAAAAACCUGGUUAUCAACUCGAAAAGGCAACUAUAAAUGUGGAAAUUGUGUUCACUGUGACAACAUGACUAACACUAACUGUUUUGCUGAUGUUUUCACAGGACGUACUUUUUACAUUAAUACAUUCAUCAACUGUAAUACUUCGUUCGUGGUCUACAGACUAGAAUGCCCGUGUGGUUGCUUCUAUAUUGGAAGAACUAAACGCAAGUUAAAAGCAAGACUUGCAGAGCACAAACAAGCAAUCAGAUCUGGUAAUCCUCUAUAUCCUAUGGCAGUGCAUUAUAAAGACACAAAUCAUGGAAGCUGUAACUCUCUUAAAAUCACAGGGAUUGAACAUAUAAAAAAUUCAAUUAGAGGAGGAGAUAGGCUUAAAAAACUCUUGCAAAGAGAAUCAUUUUGGAUUUACACACUAAAAGCUACUAAUUUCCCAGGUCUUAAUGGAGAAUUAGAUUUAGCUCCUUAUUUAUAA